rnacentral:rRNA from 1 species
CCUACGGGAGGCAGCAGUAGGGAAUAUUGCUCAAUGGGGGAAACUCUGAAGCAGCAACGCCGCGUGGAGGAUGACGGUUUUAGGAUUGUAAACUUCUUUUGUUAGAGAAGAUUAUGACGGUAUCUAACGAAUAAGGACCGUCUAACUCCGUGCCAGCAGCCGCGGUAAUACGGAGGGUGCAAGCGUUACUCGGAAUCACUGGGCGUAAAGAGUGCGUAGGCGGGGUAAUAAGUCAGAUGUGAAAUCCUGUAGCUUAACUACAGAACUGCAUUUGAAACUGUUCGGCUGGAGAGUGGUAGAGGUAGGUGGAAUGGUUGGUGUAGGGGUAAAAUCCGUAGAGAUCAAAAAGAAUACUCAUUGCGAAGGCGACCUGCUGGAACAUUACUGACGCUGAUGCACGAAAGCGUGGGGAGCAAACAGGAUUAGAUACCCGAGUAGUC